rnacentral:hammerhead_ribozyme from 1 species
AUCCAGCUGGGAGACGAGUCCCAAAUAGGACGAAAUGCGCGUUAUAUCCUGGAU